GUAUCUAGUAAUGUAUAUACGGCCUUAAAAGUGCUCUUUUUUCAGUGCCCAAAUUACUCUCUGCCAAACAAGCAGAACCAAACUACAUUGUUGAUGUCAUCAGAUGUGAUAGCAACCCUACCAAAUAUAUGCAUGUCUAACUACACUCAAACAACCUUAUUUUCAUUUACAUAAAUCCGUUUCAUCUUCAUUUAUCACCAAACAUUGUUUAUAUUACCCAUCCCUUUACCAAUCCUAAUAAUAAAUAAUUUUGUAUUGAAAUGUAUAUAUAUAUAUAUAUAUUUUUUCAUUUCUAUUGUUCCAUCACAAUUAUUUUCAGUUUCAACACAUACUUAUUGUUCAUAUUUCUACCAGGCAUCUGUCUAUCUG